AGCACACUCACGACGUGGGAAGGUCACAGAAAUGUUGAAAGACAUCAGAUGUGUGGAAACGUCGUAGCGGAUGAAUGUGAAUUAUGGAUCUCCAAGUGGCGUCGCCCGCGUCAUUUUCAAGAUUUUACCCGUUUUGAAGGUACGUAGUGAAUGUGCGAGGCAUUCACGUUCCUACUACGUGGUUAUCCAUGCGUUUCCCGUCUUCGCAGGCAAUAGGGCUGUUGAUAGGGAGAAUGCUAGGCUACUGCAGACUGCAACCAUAGGCGCUGUGUCUAAAGGUUAAGCUCACAUGACGCGGCAGGGAAGGGAGUCCGUGGCGAAAAGUGAAUAUAGCCGAAGUUGGAUAGCGUUAAUUUUUGCGCACGAAAGGCAAGCUGGACACAUCGCAAAUCUCCAGUUGUACGAAACACAGUGCAGCAUGGUCGUCGGUUAUGCCAGUGCUUCAACAUAUGUUUCAGCGUCGCACUUCGGACAUUGCGAGCAUAUACCUUUAAGUUUUUCCUCUUGUGG